CCUACGGGAGGCAGCAGUGAGGAAUAUUGGUCAAUGGGCGGAAGCCUGAACCAGCCAAGUAGCGUGCAGGAUGACGGCCCUACGGGUUGUAAACUGCUUUUAUACGGGAAUAACGCGCCUUACGUGUAGGGCUUUGCAUGUACCGGAUGAAUAGGGACCGGCUAAUUCCGUGCCAGCAGCCGCGGUAAUACGGAAGGUCCGGGCGUUAUCCGGAUUUAUUGGGUUUAAAGGGAGCGUAGGCCGGAUGUCAAGCCUGCGGUGAAAUGUCCGGGCUCAACCCGGGCCUUGCAGCGCGAACUGGCGUGCUUGAGUCCGCGGAAAGCAGGCGGAAUUCGGCGUGUAGCGGUGAAAUGCUUAGAUAUGACGAAGAACCCCGAUUGCGAAGGCAGCUUGCUGCAGCGGAACUGACGCUGAGGCUCGAAAGCGCGGGGAUCGAACAGGAUUAGAUACCCUAGUAGUC
rnacentral:rRNA from 1 species